rnacentral:rRNA from 2 species
GUGACUGCGUACCUUUUGUAUAAUGGGUCAGCGACUUAUAUUCUGUAGCAAGGUUAACCGUAUAGGGGAGCCGGAGGGAAACCGAGUCUUAACUGGGCGUUAAGUUGCAGGGUAUAGACCCGAAACCCGGUGAUCUAGCCAUGGGCAGGUUGAAGGUUGGGUAACACUAACUGGAGGACCGAACCGACUAAUGUUGAAAAAUUAGCGGAUGACCUGUGGCUGGGGGUGAAAGGCCAAUCAAACCGGGAGAUAGCUGGUUCUCCCCGAAAGCUAUUUAGGUAGCGCCUCGUGAAUUCAUCUCCGGGGGUAGAGCACUGUUUCGGCUAGGGGGCCAUCCCGGCUUACCAACCCGAUGCAAACUGCGAAUACCGGAGAAUGUUAUCACGGGAGACACACGGCGGGUGCUAACGUCCGUCGUGAAGAGGGAAACAACCCAGACCGCCAGCUAAGGUCCCAAAGUCAUGGUUAAGUGGGAAACGAUGUGGGAAGGCCCAGACAGCCAGGAUGUUGGCUUAGAAGCAGCCAUCAUUUAAAGAAAGCGUAAUAGCUCACUGGUCGAGUCGGCCUGCGCGGAAGAUGUAACGGGGCUAAACCAUGCACCGAAGCUGCGGCAGCGA